GUACUCACUUCAGUAGCAUAUAUACUAAAAUUGAAAUGAUAGAUAGAAAAUUAGCAUGGCCCCUGUGUAAGAAUGACAUGCAAAUUCAUGAGUUCCAUAUUUUU